rnacentral:rRNA from 1 species
UACCAGCACCCCGAGUGGUCGGGACGUUUAUUGGGCCUAAAGCAUCCGUAGGCGGUUCUGCAAGUCUUCCGUUAAAUCCACCUGCUUAACAGAUGGGCCGCGGAAGAUACUAUAGAGCUAGGAGGCGGGAGAGGCAAGCGGUACUCGAUGGGUAGGGGUAAAAUCCGUUGAUCCAUUGAAGACCACCAGUGGCGAAGGCGGCUUGCCAGAACGCGCUCGACGGUGAGGGAUGAAAGCUGGGGGAGCAAACCGG